AUGCAGCGUCUUCGUGCCACGGACAUGGGGUCAGCGGAAGGAGCUCAAGAGGGGCAGGGGGAGGGGGUGAAAGCUGACGGCGUCGAGACUAAGGGUGUCAGCACUGAAUCUGUGAGUGUAUCCCAUGAGAUCACAGUGGAAAACACACCGGUUGAGGAUCAAGAGGGGAACAAGGGACAGGAGGCAAAAGAGCAAGUAGACGCUCCGUCGGUGGUCGAGGAGAAAAAGGAACAAGAGGAGAAAGCCCAAGUUAUUAUUCCUUCACCCUCGGAAACGGCGAAGCCCUUAACAACUCAAACAAGCUCUUCAACCCAAACACAAAAGCAGGAGCAGGUCAAGGGGGAGGAAAAGAAGGCAGCUGGAGAUGGCUCUCGCAAAAUGCAGACUACUUUAGGCCAAGACCGACCUGCAAUAGAGGCAAGCCAGAAACUGACCAACACUGAGCCUGACAAACCAUCUGACUGUCAACGAAACAAAGCCACCUCAGAGAAAGAAAUGUCCAGUGCCGGUAAUGCAGAAAAGAAAGUCACAUCUUCUCCUGAUAACCCAAACCGCCGAAAAAUGGCAGCCAACCUCUCUCUGGAUCACGGCUCAGGUGCUGGUGCCAAACCCAGCAGUCCAGCGGUGGCUGCAGACAAGGAACAGCCAGGGAAGGUAACGGAGGAGAAAGCAGAGGUAGCAAGAAAGCAGCAAGACAUGUCUCCUAGCAGUUGGUGUCAGACCCAGCUUCCAGAGGCAGUAGCAGAGAGGCCGGUGGGGACGAGUCCAAGGGCAAAAGACAGGGAAGGAAGCCGAACAGACAGGUCCAGUAAGCCAGGUCAGUCUGGAAAACAUGCGCAUUGCCCAUAUGGAGCAUUAGGCUCUUCAAGUUUGGGCCGUAACAAGACCUCAUACGUGCAAGAACAGAGAGAGCUCAGCCACGGAACGUCCUAUGGCAGUUCAUGCUGCUCCCCCUAUUCCGUGGGCAGCGGGGCGAUGUACGGUGGUCUGGAGCAAACAGGAGGGGUCAGUUCUGACUGGCAGAUGGACAGCGUGAUCGAACAAAUCGAAAAGCAAAUGGCCGCCGUGCUGGAGAAGAUAGAAGGCGACAUGCCCUCGCUGUUGGAGCAGAUAAGCGACUGUCCCGAGACCAUUCCAAGGGCGAAAAGCGCCCACUCUUCUCCAUCGACCCGAUCUCGCUCCUACCAACAUCACUCCACCCUGCCUCCUCUUCCCACCAUCCCCCGGCCAGCCAUGCCCUCUCUGCCCCACCUGUCCAUCCCUCCUCCUUCCUACCCACCUCCGUCACCACCCACCCAGAUCCAGGUGCACAACCAACCAGCUGCAAGCCAGGAAGAGAGAGAUGGACAAAGAAGUACCGUGAGACAGGAUCAGUCGCCAAGGGGAGGGGCAUCUGGGAGGGGUUUAUGA
rnacentral:lncRNA from 1 species